UCAAUCAUCCCUUUAAAAUGAGAGCAGGAGGAGGUGGGGGAAGGACACCGGUCAAUGGCGAGGUCAGGAAGGGGCGCUCUUCAUUCAAGCAUUAGCGAGAACUCGGGUUCUCACAUUAAUUCCCUGAAUGGGCUUCACAUUUGCACAGGGGCUGACUUGGAGUCGCCUUCCGCCUGCUCCCACCCAAUGAACAGAUGCGGGAUUGAACAUCUGUGCUCAGGAAUUCUGCUAUCCUUGCAGGAUGGGGGUGGAUACCAGGGAGUCUUGUCCAGUAUCUUUACACCAUGAAGCUAUUCUUCAAGAAUGUCUGGUUUGCUAUCCAGAGAAGUCUGAUCUUGCAGGAAGAACAAUGUGGUGGAGAUUCAAUGCAAAGAAUAUUUAUCAAGUGCCUACUAUAUGCAAGGCAUUGUGCUAGAUGCUGAGGA